AGCAGCCGCGGUAACUCCAGCUCCAAUAGCGUAUAUUAAAGUUGUUGCAGUUAAAGCUCGUAGUUGAAUUUCGAGACCGGCUUACUGGUCGUGCUAUUGUACGUACUGGUAUAAUCGGUUUCUCCUUUCUGACGAACUAUAAUGCCAUUAAUUUGGUGUUUUAGGGAAUCAGGACUGUUACUUUGAAAAUUAGAGUGUUUAAAGCAGGCUCACGCUUGAAUACAUUAGCAUGGAAUAACGGAAUAGGACGUUUGAUUCUAUUUUGUUGGUUUCUAGGAUCGACGUAAUGAUUAAUAGGGAUAGUUGGGGGCAUUAGUAUUCAAUUGUCAGAGGUGAAAUUCUUGGAUUUAUUGAAGACUAACUACUGCGAAAGCAUUUGCCAAGGAUGUUUUCAUUAAUCAAGAACGAAAGUUAGGGGAUCGAAGACGAUCAGAUACCGUCGUAGUCUUAACCAUAAACUAUGCCGACUAGGGAUCGGAUGAUGUUAAUUUUUUAAUGACUCA
rnacentral:rRNA from 1 species